rnacentral:RNase_P_RNA from 1 species
GAAGCCGGCCAGACCGCCGCUGGUGCAAGCGCCGAAAGGCGGCACUGGAGGAAGGUCCGGACUGCACAGGGCACCGUAGCAGGCAACGCCUGUCCACCGCAAGGUGAGGAUCAGAGCAACAGAGACGAGUCGGUCCGGCGUCGCAAGAUGCCGGAUCGGGUGAAACGGGCAAUCUCUACGCGCAGCAAUACCAAAUAGGCCAGCGUUGAUGUGGCUCCGCGGAGCUGGCGGGUAGGUAGCACCGAGCCGGUGGGGCGACCCCCGGCCCAGAAGAAUGACGGUCACGCGUGGGCAACCACGCGCACAAAAUCCGGCGUAUCGGGGCGCUUCACAA